UACGUAGGGUGCAAGCGUUAAUCGGAAUUACUGGGCGUAAAGCGUGCGCAGGCGGUGAUGUAAGACAGAUGUGAAAUCCCCGGGCUCAACCUGGGAACUGCAUUUGUGACUGCAUCGCUGGAGUACGGCAGAGGGGGAUGGAAUUCCGCGUGUAGCAGUGAAAUGCGUAGAGAUGCGGAGGAACACCGAUGGCGAAGGCAGCCCCCUGGGCUAACACUGACGCUCAGGCACGAAAGCGUGGGGAGCAAACAGG
rnacentral:rRNA from 1 species